GAUGAACGCUGGCGGUGUGCCUAACACAUGCAAGUCGAACGAGCCUUCGGGCUAGUGGCGGACGGGUGAGUAACACGUUAGUACCUGCCCUUUAGUGGGAAUAACUCGGCGAAAGUCGAGCUAAUACCGCAUGUGACCGUUUACGGUCAAAGACUUCGGUCGCUAAAGGAGGGGCUUGCGUCUGAUUAGCUAGUUGGUAGGGUAAAAGCCUACCAAGGCAACGAUCAGUAGCUGGUUCGAGAGGAUGACCAGCCACACGCGGACUGAGAUACGGCCGCGACUCCUACGGGAGGCAGCAGUGAGGAAUCUUCCGCAAUGGGCGAAAGCCUGACGGAGCAAC
rnacentral:rRNA from 1 species